rnacentral:rRNA from 1 species
GACGAACGCUGGCGGCGUGCUUAACACAUGCAAGUCGAACGGAAAGGCCCUGCUUUUGUGGGGUGCUCGAGUGGCGAACGGGUGAGUAACACGUGAGUAACCUGCCCUUGACUUUGGGAUAACUUCAGGAAACUGGGGCUAAUACCGGAUAGGAGCUCCUGCUGCAUGGUGGGGGUUGGAAAGUUUCGGCGGUUGGGGAUGGACUCGCGGCUUAUCAGCUUGUUGGUGGGGUAGUGGCUUACCAAGGCUUUGACGGGUAGCCGGCCUGAGAGGGUGACCGGCCACAUGGGGACUGAGAUACGGCGCAGAAUCGUACGGGAGGCAGCAGUGGGGAAUAUUGCACAAUGGGCGGAAGCCUGAUGCAGCAACGCCGCGUGCGGGAUGACGGCCUUCGGGUUGUAAACCGCUUUCGCCUGUGACGAAGCGUGAGUGACGGUAAUGGGUAAAGAAGCACCGGCUAACUACGUG